UCUCUUCCUUCUCCCCACCCUGCCAGCAGCACAGAGGGACACCACUGCCAACUGUGAGUCUCCAAAAUUUACAGGAAAAUGUGAAAAAGCAUGUCUGGUUUAUUUCAUUUUUGUUGCUUGCUGUCUUGACUUUGACCUCUGAAACUCAAUUUUUUAAGCUUUUCUCAACAACAUUCAGGGGACCAGUUUACUUUUCUUUUUGUCCAAAAAUUGUGAUUCUGCCUGAAUCAUGUUGGGUUAUCCAAGUGGAAAAAGCUUCAUGUUCAACUGACGGCUGCCAGCAAGACUAAAACCCCUUGUAUUCCCUCAGUUGAAAGCUGGCUGACCUGACAGUUAUGCUCAGGCAUGUCCUAUUUGAUGGAGGAUUCAUGAGAGAAUUGCUGUUACAGGCUGACAUGAACAGAAACAGCAUUUGUGGGUAGUGUGUCCAUCACAACACACUUGAGGGCUUUUUAGAAACACACCAAAUACUUAGGUUUGAAUCAGACACUGUUUGGAAUCCUUUGGUCCAGCUCCAUUUUCCCACGCUGUCUUCUCUGACAUACAGUCAUGGCCAGUACUCUAAGCCAGUAAAUCAGCCCUAGUUCCUCUUGAUCUGCCAGGUGCCUUUGGCUCUGCUGGUUAUUCCCUCCUCAAACUCUUGAUUGGUUUUGACUCUUCUAACUUCUUCCUUUUGUAGAUAUUUUGGGUUUGCACACUAACAGUUUGGCAGUACUUCCUUCAGAACACCCUCACAAUCUACCUUCCAUCUUCCUACUGAAGUGCUAUGUUGUUUUGCACUUGGUUCCAGUUCCCUUCUUAUGUAUAGUUUACUUUGGAGUGAUUCCUGCCUGGCAAUCCCAGGUCUUCUGGCUCUCCCAACCCAUUUCAGAGAAUAAAUACUUGCCUUUUAGGUUCUUUUUAGCCUAUCCUGCUUUUGCCGAUACAAGUGUUACCACACCAAAGCUAGAGCAACAAAUAGUCACUCAAGGAAUGGGUUGUUUCUUUUGAUGUUCGGUCAGCAGAGUUUUGCAAGUCAGAUGUGGGAUUUCUUGAAACAGUUACUGAGAAGCAUUCACAUGCAAAGAUGAACAUGACAGAAUUCAUUAAAAGCAUAUUCAAGAAAGCUGCAUGCCAGUAGCAUGAUGACAGAGUUCCUUACGGUGUGGUGGGGACAUUUUUUGGUGUCCUUUUUGCUUUCAAGUGCAAAGAAAAGCAGGAAUACUCCUGCCUAUCUAUCUCAGCUGAAUUGUGCUUUGUAUGUGUUUGAACAGAUAUGGAAUUGAGUCUCUACUGGAUACCCAAGUACAAUUCCAUUAUCUGAAUAGUCUUAAAGAUAAAUAGAAUGGUUAGAUAAGGUGUGCCAUAAUCCCUGACCCUGCAGCUGAGGGAAGUAGUGUAAGUGGUGUCAGCCAGCCAGCAAGAAUGUCACAUGCUUGGUACAGCAGUGGCACUGCUGGCGGGGAUGGAUGCUGCAGGUCGGGGUUUGGGGCUGCUGAAGCUCUUCCCACAAAGCAGUGCAGCGUGUGUACCUUUCUGUGAACCUAGACUCUGUUCCAGAGCACAUCUGCUAGUUUUGCAGACAGGCCGUCUGCUGUAGCAGUUUUCCUCUCCAGCCUCCUUUACUUAAAUGGAGUAUAAGCUCUUUGUCUUCUUACCUCAACUAUGGAGGGGUUCAGCAGAAGAGAGAUCUUCUUUUGAAUAUCUGGAUAUUCUGUACUCAGCCCACAGUUGCAGUAUAUACAAAGCCAAAGUGGAAAACAAUGUUAUUAUCUUCCCUCUGCUUUCAGAGCAUUUUCAGCAUCUUCUCAGGGAGAGAUCAGAACAGCCCCCGGGAAGUCAUUGUUGUCACUUCAAAAGUGGCUGUCAUCCAGAGCAGAGCACUGUGAGCUCAAAGCUGUGGUAACUUUAGUAAGUGUGACAUUCACAGGGCAGAAUGUGAGGUCUUGUUGCAAUAGCAUACACAUAUUGUUUUGCCCGUGCUAUCAGAGGGAGAGACGGUGAGGCCAUAUACUUCAGCAGCUAUGAGCCAGAACACUGGGAAACUCUAUAGAUCUGCAGCAUCUUCAUUCCUCUUCUUCUUGCUGGUGGGUUAGCAGGACAAUGUGGUCCCUUCACAAAGGAUAGAUAUCACCCUCAGUAUCAGUACUUGCAGGAUGUUAAAGUGCCAUUCCCCAAGUUGCUGAUAGGAUCUGCUGGGCAUUCAGUUUCUGGCAAUGGAAAUUCUGCCAUCAAUUUCAAGAUUUCCCAGCCUGAAACUGGAAGUAUGUGCCAAAACGUCUGAGACACUCACAUUACAUUUUGGGAUGCAGGCAGCCGCAUUAAGAUAUGCAUAUAUUCACUGUACUUGUCGGAACAAAGCUGCUUGUGUAUAAGUAUAUCAGUGUCAGUGGAACUGCAAGCAAGGAGAAUGCAGCUGUAACUGGCAUUACAGCACAGCCAUCAUCGUUGACAACACCUGAGCCAUGGCACCUUUUGGUGACUCAAACACCAGCCAAGGAAAAAGCCAAAGAGGGUGAAACUGUGGUCUUAAAUUGCCACUUUAACAGUCCACAGCAUCUCUCCCUGACUGACCUGAUGGUGAAGUGGUACAAAGAAGAUGAAAAGGGGCAGAUGGACCUGCUAGAAAACAAUGUGACUGUCUUGACAAAUAACUCCAGGUUUUUCAUGAGUGGAGACUUGUCCCAAGGGGAUGCCUCCCUGGUGAUCCUCAAUGUGACAAUCAAUGACCAUGGUAUUUAUUUCUGUGAGGUUACACUUCCAGACAGGACGGUGGUGACAGGAGAUGGGACAAAGCUCAGGAUCAGGAGAGCUCUGGGCUUGUUUGGUAUAGAAGAAUCCAUUGGAACAAUAAUUGGGGUUGUGGCAGCUGGUGUUGGAGGAAUAAUGGUUCUGAUCAUUAUUUUAACCCCCCAGCUGAAGAGGUGUGUCCUCUGCAUGAGACAAGGCUCUCACCAAGGUAAGAAACACAAGCCAAAGCCUGGAAUACCUUGCCAGAAAGAACCUAAUCGUCUGUUUCCAAAGGUACCUGUUUUUUUGAACUUAAGCAGGAAUUAGCCAUUCACUUACUUCUGGUCAGACACAGUACCUGGUUCAGGAAAUAAGCAACGUGGAUGAAACUCUAACAGGGCUGGCUCUGUAUUCUCUUUUUCAAAUAGUUCUUUAUUUAUGUAGGGUAGAGCUUCAUGCGUGGGCCUAAUGAGUUCCUAUAAACAAAACAAUAGGAUUUUAUUUAAUUUCCACUUCAGCAGAGUUGUUUGAUGAGAUGCUACUGCUUCUUUUAAUGAAGUCCUGGGUCCCCUUCACUUCUUCUAGGUUCAUGCUGAAGGAUGGUUCUUCUUCCCACCAACUAUGUGCUUACAUCUGUAUUCUUGUAAUGCUUUGCAUACAGAAAGCCUGUGAUGGCCUAAGUGUGUGUUUGAGGUGUGGUUUGGAAAGCCUAGUAAUAUCUUUUAUUAGAUCAGCCGAUCAGGUUGGCAAAACUAGACAUUUCCAUGCCUAGAUAUGAGCCAAAUAAAUGACUCGAGAAGAAACUGAUGAACCUGAAAGCUGGCCUGGUUUUUUCCACCUCUGUCAGCUGGCCCAAUUAGAGUAGACUGACACUGAAGGCUGGAUUUUGAAACGAGCCUAGUUCCCAUUUUGCACAACCAGGAUGUGGUCUGCGUUUCAGACGGAGCCCAGCUGACUUUCUGCUUUCAGUGGUGAGCUGUGUGGUUUGUACCUCUUACCCCAGCACCCAAAAAUAUUCCUCGUCCUGCUCAGAAAGGAAAUCCCUGGAGGGAAAGAUGCUCUCGCCACUUACUGUGCCGCUGCCGCCACCUGAUGGCCAGCGUGGUGGAGACAG